GCAGCCGCCGCGGUAAUACGGAGGGUGCAAGCGUUAAUCGGAAUUACUGGGCGUAAAGCGCACGCAGGCGGUCUGACAAGUCAGAUGUGAAAUCCCCGGGCUUAACCUGGGAACUGCAUUUGAAACUGUCAGGCUGGAGUCUUGUAGAGGGGGGUAGAAUUCCAGGUGUAGCGGUGAAAUGCGUAGAGAUCUGGAGGAAUACCGGUGGCGAAGGCGGCCCCCUGGACAAAGACUGACGCUCAGGUGCGAAAGCGUGGGGAGCAAACAGGAUUAGAUACCCCCGUAGUCCCUGUAUCUUAUAC
rnacentral:rRNA from 1 species